rnacentral:lncRNA from 1 species
GGCGUUCUUCUCGGCGACUCCGGGAUGCCGGCGGCGCCCGAUGCUGCCUCCCUCCGGCGUCCUGCGCGGAGCGGACGCAUCCUUCGUCCUCCGAGUGGCCAUGGCCUUUAAACUUCCCAGUCCUCGGCUGGGAGAGGGGUGCGCCAAGUUUUCAGCUGUGAGGUUCCCUUGCUCCUCUACCCCCGCCUCCCCUAAAGGCCUCCAAGGUGUCAAGCCUCUGGACACUGGAUGCGGCAACCCUCCCCCCUCCCCCCUCCAUACACAUGCCCCGGGCGAGGGAGUCGCGAGGCCACCUCCCCAGGCCAUCCCUUUUGUGAAUGACAGCAUCAGCGGAUUUUAAAAAGUAAGUUGCCAAUUGCUUGCUAGAUUGCCCCAGACACUGCACACCUGAAUCAGAUGGAGCCCAGUGUACAGCAGUCAGUGUUCCUUUGCACAAGCCAGCAAUUCCACACCUGGGAUUCUGCUCCAGAGAACUGAAAACAUUGACAUCUCCGUUAUCGCUACUGCUUCCUUGAACUCUUCUGCCAAGGAAUUUGACGCAGAUGGAACAAAAAAGGGACAGACAAAAUAUAAACAGAACGACAUCUCAAGGAUUACCCAUGGAAAGAAGAUGGAAGUCACAUCAGGUUACCCUGGAGUUAGAUUUUACUCUCCUAUAAUUUUUAUUUCUUUGUAAUUGAACACACAAACAUGGGCUUGGAACCCAGUUUAAGAGAAGCCAUGAGUUUCAGUGUUUUUCUUUACCUCCAACCAAAUCUUCCCCUGAUAUCCUUACCUUGUGAAUUGAAUAGGAGUCUCUCUCUCUUUUUACAACAUGCAAUGAAUCCCAAAGCAAGAGCAACCACCAUGAAAAUUACUGUGAAUCAUGUUCCUCUAUACUCCAUCAGUAAGGCUAAAGCGCAAAGCAUUCUGUUUUGCUUGGUGUUAUAAUAACAAGAAGAUUGAGGAAACUUGGAUCCC